rnacentral:rRNA from 1 species
GUCCACGCCCUAAACUAUGGAUACUCGGUGUGGGAGGGAUUCGACCCCUUCCCGUGCCUUAGCCAACGCGUUAAGUAUCCCGCCUGGGUAGUACGGUCGCAAGACUAAAACUCAAAGGAAUAGACGGGACCCACACAAGCGGUGGAACAUGAGGUUUAAUUCGAUGGUAAACGAGGAACCUUACCCAGGCUUGACAUCUCGGGAAUCCUCUGGAAACAGGGGAGUGCCGUAAGGAACCCGAUGACAGGUGCUGCAUGGUCGUCGU